rnacentral:rRNA from 1 species
UACGUAGGGGGCGAGCGUUGUCCGGAAUCAUUGGGCGUAAAGCGCGUGUAGGCGGCUUGCCAAGUCCGGUGUGAAAUCUCGGGGCUCAACCCCGAAACUGCACUGGAAACUGGCUUGCUAGAGUCCGGAAGAGGAGAUUGGAAUUCCUGGUGUAGCGGUGAAAUGCGCAGAUAUCAGGAAGAACACCCGUGGCGAAGGCGGAUCUCUGGGACGGUACUGACGCUGAGACGCGAAAGCGUGGGGAGCGAAC